UACGGAGGGUGCAAGCGUUAUCCGGAUUCACUGGGUUUAAAGGGUGCGUAGGUGGGCAGGUAAGUCAGUGGUGAAAUCUCCGAGCUUAACUCGGAAACUGCCGUUGAUACUAUUUGUCUUGAAUAUUGUGGAGGUAAGCGGAAUAUGUCAUGUAGCGGUGAAAUGCUUAGAUAUGACAUAGAACACCAGUUGCGAAGGCAGCUUACUAAACAACGAUUGACGCUGAGGCACGAAAGCGUGGGGAUCAAACAGG
rnacentral:rRNA from 1 species